GACGAACGCGUGCCCCUUUCCUACUACAUUCACUUAGAACGCUUAAGAGAGGAGCUUUCUCUUCUUGUAUGAGUUGCGAACGGGUGAGUAACGCGUAGGUAACCUGCCUUGUAGCGGGGGAUAACUAUUGGAAACGAUAGCUAAUACCGCAUAACAAUGGAUGACACAUGUCAUUUAUUUGAAAGGGGCAAUUGCUCCACUACAAGAUGGACCUGCGUUGUAUUAGCUAGUAGGUGAGGUAAUGGCUCAACUCUGCGACGAUACAUAGCCGACCUGAGAGGGUGCGAGGCCACACUGGGACUGAGACACGGCCCAGACUCCUACGGGAGGCAGCAGUAGGGAAUCUUCGGCAAUGGGGGCAACCCUGACCGAGCAACGCCGCGUGAGUGAAGAAGGUUGUCGGAUCGUAAAGAGAUGUGGUAAGUCAAGAACGGGUGUGAGAGUGGAAAGUUCACACUGUGACGGUAGCUGACCAGAAAGGGAAGGAUAAAUACGGG
rnacentral:rRNA from 1 species